rnacentral:rRNA from 1 species
UACGGAGGGUGCGAGCGUUAAUCGGAAUGACUGGGCGUAAAGCGUGCGUAGGCGGUAACGACAGUCAGCCGUGAAAGCCCUGGGCUUAACCUGGGAAUGGCGGUUGAUACGGCGUAACUUGAGUGGGCUAGAGGGCUGUGGAAUUCCGGGUGUAGCGGUGAAAUGCGUAGAGAUCCGGAGGAACACCGAUGGCGAAGGCAGCGGUCUGGGGCCACACUGACGCUGAGGCACGAAAGCGUGGGGAGCAAACAGGAUUAGAAACCCCAGUAGUCC